rnacentral:rRNA from 1 species
UUCGCAAUGCCCGAAAGGGUGACGAAGCGACGCCGCGUGGGUGAGGAAGGCCCUCGGGUUGUAAAGCCCUGUCAGGAGUUAAGAAAUGUAAGUGCGCUAAUAUCGCAUUUAUUUGACGAAGGCUCCAAAGGAAGCCACGGCUAACUCUGUGCCAGCAGCCCCGGUAAUACAGAGGUGGCAAGCGUUGUUCGGAAUUAUUGGGCGUAAAGAGCACGUAGGUGGGUUUGUAAGUCAGAUGUGAAAGCCUUCUGUUCAACGGAAGAAUUGCAUCUGAAACUACAAGUCUUGAGUGUAGGAGGGGAGAAUGGAACUUCUGGUGGAGCGGUGAAAUGCGUAGAUAUCAGAAGGAACGCCGGCGGCGAAAGCGAUUCUCUGGCCUAUUACUGACACUCAGUGUGCGAAAGCUAGGGGAGCAAACGGGAUUAGAUACCCCGGUAGUCCUAGCCGUAAACGAUGGGCACUAAGUAGAGGGGUUUU